AUGAUCGAGGAGAUGUACCAGCAGGAGACCAAGGAGCUUGAGGGCACCUCCGCCGGCGGCCGCGGAGGCGGUCCCGAGUCCGGCAACGACCUCUCUGGCGCCGACGACUUGCACUCCCCAACGACAACCGGCGCGCAGCAGCACCCGCAGCAGCAAGUAGUAAUGCAGCACGGCGGCGGCAGGUACGGCCAACAAGAGCACGGGAUGUCCGGCGUCCACCCCCAUAAGCUCGACCCCGACGCAGGGCCCUUGGUGGCGGACGCCGCCUUCGUCGGCCUUGACCCGGCAGAGCUCCUUAGUGGCGACGCGCACGUGGGUGCCGCGGACGACCUGGGAGGUUUGAGCCCGGGGUGA
rnacentral:rRNA from 1 species